ACUAGUGAAUAAGGGGUGGGCAAGUUCUGGUGUCAGCCGCCGCGGUAAAACCAGCACCUCAAGUGGUCAGGAGGAUUAUUGGGCCUAAAGCAUCCGUAGCCUGUUCUAUAAGUUUGCGGUUAAAUCUAUACGCUCAACGUAUAGGCUGCCGUAAAUACUGUAGAACUAGGGAGUGGGAGAGGUAGACGGUACUCGAUAGGAAGGGGUAAAAUCCUUUGAUCUAUUGAUGACCACCUGUGGCGAAGGCGGUCUACCAGAACACGUUCGACGGUGAGGGAUGAAAGCUGGGGGAGCAAACCGGAUUAGAUACCCGGGUAGUCCCAGCUGUAAACGAUGCAGACUCGAUGAUGCAAUGGCAUAGAGCUAAUGCAGUAUCGCAGGGAAGCCGUUAAGUCUGCCGCCUGGGAAGUACGUACGCAAGUAUGAAACUUAAAGGAAUUGGCGGGGGAGCACCCCAAGGGGUGAAG
rnacentral:rRNA from 1 species